UGGCCCUGCGGCUGCUCCUGUCGAGAAAUUGUUGGAGCUGGCAGCCUAGGAAUGACUCUCAGCCUCUAAGCUCACCUGGUCAGAAUCCUUGGAUGAGCCUGUGGGACCCUUCCUCCUAGCCCUGUGUAUUAGCAAUUACACUGCCCUAAAAUCAGUGGCUUUGGGACUGUAAGAGGAUGGAUAAAGAUUCUCAGGGACUACUAGAUUCAUCCCUGAUGGCAUCAGGCACUGCCAGCCGCUCAGAGAAUGAGGAAUCGCUGGCAGGGCAGAAGCGAGCCUCCUCCCAGGCCUUGGGCACCAUCCCUAAAAGGAGAAGCUCCUCCAGGUUCAUCAAGAGGAAGAAGUUUGAUGAUGAACUCGUGGAGAGCAGCCUGGCAAGGUCCUCUACCCGGGCAAAGGGUGACAGUGGGGUGGAACCAGGGCGCUGUUCAGGGAGUCAACCCUCUUCCAGUGAGAAGAAGAAGGUAUCCAAGACCCCCAACAUUCCUGUGCCACCCAGCCCAGCCCCAGCCCCUGGACUCACCAAGGGUGUGAAGAAGAGUAAACAGCCACUUCAGGUGACCAAGGAUCUGGGCCGCUGGCAGCCUGCAGAUGACCUCCUACUCAUCAACGCUGUGCUGCAGACCAAUGACCUGACAUCUGUCCACCUGGGAGUGAAAUUCAGCUGCCGCUUCACCCUUUGGGAAGUCCAGGAGUGCUGGUACGCCCUGCUGUACGACCCUGUCAUCUCCAAGUUGGCCUGCCAGGCCACGAGGCAGCUGCACCCAGAGGCCAUUGCAGCCAUCCAGAGCAAGGCCCUGUUUAGAAAAGCUGAGGAGCAGCUUCUGAGUAAAGUGGGAUCGACCAGCCAGCCCACCUUGGAGACCUUCCAGGACCUCCUACACAGACACUCUGAUGCCUUCUGUCCCGUACUACCAAGGCUCCGCAGGCUCACUGGCAGCUCAAAAAGCAGUAUUACCUGUUGGAGGACCAGACAGCGCAGCCACUGCCCAAGGGGGACCAAGCGUUGAACUUCUCUGAUGCAGAGGACCCGAUUGAUGACAGUAAGCUCAAGGACAUGCGAGAUGAGGUCCUGGAACAUGAGCUGACAGUGGCAGACCGGCGCCAGAAGCGAGAGAUUCGGCAGCUGGAACAGGAACUGCGUAAGUGGUAGGUGCUAGUCGACAGCAUCGCAGGCAUCAGCUCUCCAGACUUCGACAACCAGACCCUGGCAGUGCUGCGGCGCCGCAGGGUGCGGUACCUGACGCACUCUCGCGAGAUCACCCUGGGUAGAGCAACCAAGGAUAACCAGAUUAUGUGGACCUGUCUCUGGAAGGUCCAGCCUGGAAGAUCUCCUGGAAGCAAGGUGUCAUCAAGCUGAAGAACAACGGAGAUUUCUUCAUUGCCAAUGAGGGCCUGAGGCCUAUUUACAUCGAUGGACGGCCUGUGCUGUGUGGCUCCAAAUGGCGUCUUAACAAUAACUCUGUGGUGGAGAUGGCCCGCCUGCGUUUUGUCUUCCUCAUCAACCAGGACCUCAUUGUCCUCAUCCGGGCGGAGGCUGCCAAGAUCACACCGCAGUGAGGAGUGGUAGCAGGACCUUUAGGCUCUCUCUGGUCGGUUUCCUCUGCCAUUCCAGCCCCCUUGAACUGGGACUUCAGGCUCCUAG